ACGCCAUCACUCCUACGGGAGGCAGCAUGGGAUGGAAUAUGCACAAUGGGGGAAACCCUGAUGCAGCCAUGCCGCGUGUGUGAAGAAGGCCUUCGGGUUGUAAAGCACUUUCAGUAGGGAGGAAGGUAGUGUAGUUAACACCUGCAUUAUUUGACGUUACCUACAGAAGAAGCACCGGCUAACUCCGUGCCAGCAGCCGCGGUAAUACGGAGGGUGCGAGCGUUAAUCGGAAUUACUGGGCGUAAAGCGCAUGCAGGCGGCCUGUUAAGUCAGAUGUGAAAGCCCGGGGCUUAACCUCGGAAUUGCAUUUGAAACUGGCAGGCUAGAGUACUGUAGAGGGGGGUAGAAUUUCAGGUGUAGCGGUGAAAUGCGUAGAGAUCUGAAGGAAUACCGGUGGCGAAGGCGGCCCCCUGGACAGAUACUGACACUCAGAUGCGAAAGCGUGGGGAGCAAACAGGAUUAGAUACCCUGGUAG
rnacentral:rRNA from 1 species